rnacentral:lncRNA from 1 species
AAGGAUCUAUGUCAACAUUGGUAAUAUUGAAUGUCUAGAUAAGAUAGAGCUCGAUGUGAAGUGCUGGAGCUUUGAAAUUUCAAUUCUGAAGGAGGAAGUAACGUCGCCAAAACCUUUCCCGCCAACAGAUGCAAAAACGGCAGCCAAAACUAAUGCGAUGUGUUUGAGGGAAAAUGAUAGGGUUGCAGUUAAUUCAGAUUACGUGGCGGGACAGCAGUCAAAGGGUUGCCUUUUGGGCCCUCUGCCAUCCCUUCUCCAUACACGGGCUAAUAAUAAUAUUAUCCUAUGCAGGCCCAAUAAAGAAAACAUCUCCAGAGUCAUUAAAGAGAAGAUGGUCGGCCAAUCUUUUAAUUAUUACAAAGCCCCAAAAAAGAAGUUCCAACAAAAGAUGAAGGCAACUAAACCCACAAUCAUUCAGGAAUGGCGUGCUAAAGGGCUUUACAAGAUCUACGAAUUAAUUCCAGCAUUGAUAUUCCUUCUUCUUCUUCAACCAUUUGUCAGCAGUCCCAUUACUUAGUGUCAUUCUAUGAAGCAGUCACGCAUGAAACACCUGUGACACACUCAGAAGCUGAUGACGAAUCGGAAAACUUUCUUUCUGAUGUUAGUGGUCUUCCUCAACAAUUAGGCUGGUCCGAUGCUCUGUGCUAAAGAGCCUCUACAGGAUCUACAAAUUAAUUCCAGCAUUGCUAUUCCUUCUUCUUCUUCAACCUUUUGUCAGCAGUCCCAAU